CCCUUAGAUGUUCUGGGCCGCACGCGUGCUACACUGAGUGGAUCAGCGGGUCUGGUUGCGCGAAAGUGUUUCCUAAUCUUGAAAUCCGCUCGUGAUGGGGAUUGACGGUUGCAAUUUUCCGUCAUGAACGAGGAAUACCUUGUAAGCGCGGGUCAUCAUCCCGCGCUGAAUACGUCCCUGCCCUUUGUACACACCGCCCGUCGCUCCUACCGAUUGAGUGGUCCGGUGAGGCUUUGGGAUCUGAGCGGAAAGAGCGUUUCGCUGUUUCUGCUCGGAAAACUCAGUCGAACCUUAUCAUUUAGAGGAAGGAGAAGUCGUAACA
rnacentral:rRNA from 1 species